UACGUAGGGUGCGAGCGUUGUUCGGAUUCAUUGGGCGUAAAGGGUGCGUAGGUGGCGCUGUAAGUCGGGUGUGAAAUUUCGGAGCUUAACUCCGAAACUGCAUUCGAUACUGCGGUGCUUGAGGACUGGAGAGGAGACUGGAAUUCAUGGUGUAGCAGUGGAAUGCGUAGAGAUCAUGAGGAAGACCAGUGGCGAAGGCGGGUCUCUGGACAGUUCCUGACACUGAGGCACGAAGGCCAGGGGAGCAAACGGG
rnacentral:rRNA from 1 species